GAAAUGCGAUAAGUAGUGUGAAUUGCAGAAUUCAGUGAAUCAUCGAAUCUUUGAACGCACAUUGCGCCCUUUGGUAUUCCAAAGGGCAUGCCUGUUCGAGCGUCAUUUGUACCCUCAAGCUUUGCUUGGUGUUGAGCGUCUUGUCUCCAGUUCGCUGGAGACUCGCCUUAAAGUAAUUGGCAGCCGGCCUACUGGUUUCGGAGCGCAGCACAAGUCGCGCUCUCUUCCAGCCAAGGUCAGCAUCCACAAAGCCUUUUUUCAACUUUUGACCUCGGAUCAGGUAGGGAUACCCGCUGAACUUAAGC
rnacentral:misc_RNA from 1 species